GGACGAUGAAGGAAACAUCUGUGCUGUGUCUGCUCUGAGUCGAGGAAACACUGGGUAAGAAAAUUAAUGCAUGGAUGGAUGGAUGGAUGACAUAUGCUAGAAGCUAUCCUUUAGCUUUAGUUCUGAUCUCACUGCUGAGCUGCACAACAAACCAAGGUCAGUAACCUUCUUCUGUCACAGUUUAAACCUGAGAAAUGCUCACUGAUAUGAUCUGAUUGGGUUCAUGUUUC